GUCCAUUCAUCAGGACAGAUACAGACUCCACUCUGCAGCUCACCGCCAUUGAUACAGACCAAUGGAGGGAUUGUGGUGGAAGAGGUGGUGGGAAGAGCAGUAGUAGUAGCUGUAGUAGUAGUUGUAGUAGUAUUUGGAGAGGCAGUAUUAGGAGUUGGAUGAGUAUUUGGAUAUUCAAUGCUAGUAGCAGUAGUUAGAAAGGUAGAAGUCGUUGAAGGGGUAGUGGUAAAUCCUGUGUUACCAUCUGGUGGGUUAGUUGUAGUACCAUCUGGUGGGUUAGUUGUAGUACCGUCUGAAGGGUUAGUUGUAGUACCGUCUGGAAGGUUAGUUGUAGUACCGUCUGGAGGGUUAGUUGUAGUACCAUCUGUAAGGUUAGUUGUAGUAGCUUCUGGAGUGUAAAUUGUAGUACCAUCUGGAGGGUUAGCUGUAGAACCAACUGGAGGUUUAGUAGUAGUGACAUUCGGUGGGUAAGUAGUCGUUCCAUCUGGGGGGUGAGUAGUACUACCAUCUGCAGGACUAGUAGUAUUACCAUCUGGAGGGAUAGUUGUAGUACCAUCUGGAUGGUUAGUUGUAGUAUGAUCUGGAGGGUUAGUUGUAGUACCCUCUGGAGGUUUAGUAGUAGUGACAUUCGGUGGGUGAGUAGUCGUUUCAUCUGGGGGGUGAGUAGUACUACCAUCUGCAGGUCUAGUAGUAUUACCAUCUGGAGGGAUAGUUGUAGUACCAUCUGGAUGGUUAGUUGUAGUACCAUCUGGAUGGUUAGUUGUAGUACCCUCUGGAGGUUUAGUAGUAGUGACAUUCGGUGGGUAAGUAGUCGUUCCAUCUGAGGGGUGAGUAGUACUACCAUCUGCAGGACUAGUAGUAUUACCAUCUGGAGGGAUAGUUGUAGUACCAUCUGGAUGGUUAGUUGUAGUACCCUCUGGAGGGUUAGUUGUAGUACCCUCUGGAGGUUUAGUAGUAGUGACCUUCGGUGGGUGAGUAGUCGUUUCAUCUGGGGGGUGAGUAGUACUACCAUCUGCAGGUCUAGUAGUAUUACCAUCUGGAGGGAUAGUUGUAGUACCAUCUGGAUGGUUAGUUGUAGUACCCUCUGGAGGUUUAGUAGUAGUGACAUUCGGUGGGUAAGUAGUCGUUCCAUCUGGGGGGUGAGUAGUACUACCAUCUGCAGGACUAGUAGUAUUACCAUCUGGAGGGAUAGUAGUGGUAAUGGCUGGAUGGUUAGUAGUAGUACCAUCUGGAGGGUUAGCUGUAGAACCAACUGGAGGUUUAGUAGUAGUGACAUUCGGUGGGUAAGUAGUCGUUCCAUCUGGGGGGUGAGUAGUACUACCAUCUGCAGGACUAGUAGUAUUACCAUCUGGAGGGAUAGUUGUAGUACCAUCUGGAUGGUUAGUUGUAGUAUGAUCUGGAGGGUUAGUUGUAAUACGAUCUGGAGGGUUAGCUGUAGUAUCCUCUGCAGGGUUAGCUGUAGUAUCCUCUGGAGGGUUAGUUGUAGUAUCCUCUGGAGGGUUUGUUGUAGUACCAUCUGGAGGGCUAGUUGUAGUACCAUCUGUAAGGUUAGUUGUAGUAGCUUCUGGAGUGUAAAUUGUAGUAGCUUCUGGAGUGUAAAUUGUAGUAGCAUCUGAAGGGUUAGUUGUAGUAGCAUAUGGAGGGAUAGUUGUAGUAGUAUCUGGAGGAUUUGUUGUAUUACCAGCUGGAGGUUCAGUUGUAGUCUCAUCUGGAAGUUUUGUGGUAGUAUGAGCUGGUGGGUCAGUGGAAAUAUCAUUUGGAAGCUUAGUAGUAUUACCAGCUGCAAGUUCAGUAGUAGUAGCAUCUGGAGGGUUAGUUGUAUUACCCUCUGGAGUGUUAGUUGUAGCAUCUGGAAGGUUAGUUGUAGGACCAUCUGGAAGGUUAGUUGUAGGACCAUCUGGAAGGUUAGUUGUAGUAACAUCUGGAAGGUUAGUUGUAGUAGCAUCUGGAGGGUUAGUUGUAGUACCAUCUGGAGGGUUAGUUGUAGUACCAUCUGGAGGGUUAAUUGUAGUACAAUCUGGAAGGUUAGUUGUAGUACCAUCUAGAGGGUAAGUUGUAGUAGCAUCUAGAGGGUUAAUAGUAGUAACAUCCCCAGGGAAGGGAGUGCCUUCAAGGGCUUUAUCACUGAUGAGGGGGUGAGUAGCAUUGAAGAUAGUAGUAGCAUAAUUAGUAUUAACAGUUGUCUGUAUAGUCAUGGUAGUGGUUUUGUCAUUCUUAGGGGUAUUCAGUUCAGUGGACGUUGGAAUGGCAGAAAGUCUGGUGAGA
ensembl:lncRNA